UACAGAGGUCUCAAGCGUUGUUCGGAUUCAUUGGGCGUAAAGGGUGCGUAGGCGGCGCGGUAAGUCGGGUGUGAAAUCUCGGAGCUUAACUCCGAAACUGCAUUCGAUACUGCCGUGCUUGAGGACUGGAGAGGAGACUGGAAUUUACGGUGUAGCGGUGAAAUGCGCAGAUAUCAGGAAGAACACCCGUGGCGAAGGCGGCUCUCUGGAACGCAACUGACGCUGAGACGCGAAAGCGUGGGGAGCAAACAGG
rnacentral:rRNA from 1 species